AAAUUAUAUUCCACAAUCCAAAUUAAGUGGCCAAAUAUUGACGAAUUGUUAGUGUAAAAGUAACGUAGCAGUGUUGUGAUAGAUGAUACGACAAUAAUGUCUCCACGGGCCGAUCUUGUGGAAUAGCAUUGACUCGCAUUGAUUGCGGGCUGUACGAGAGCUGGCAAUCCAGCUUGCUAUUCAUGAGCCAACUUAUGUUCGACUCGAAAAUGAGCUCGAGAUCGAUCGCUUGUUUAAUAAAUGAAUUAAACAUA
rnacentral:lncRNA from 1 species